UAUCAAAUUAAUUAUUACUGUAUUGUAUCGGCGUAAAUAUAUCCCGGAGAUUUUUAAUAUCUCCGUUUUACGUAGUCUUGGUGUAAUACUGUACUCUUUGUGUCCUAUCGAUGAAUACGCGUAAUAAUUUUUCGAAGAAAAAAGCAACGCGUAUAACUCAAACUUUUACGACGGAUAUUUGCAUAAUGCCGUUGUGAUCUUCAUUUUUGAAAUACGUUUAAUGACUUCACGUAUCUACCUGCGUAUUUUAUUGUUGUAGAUUACUUUAUUUUUUCCUCCUUGCUUUUCCGACGGAAAAAUUUCAAAACGUUAUAUAUACAUGUAUAAUUUAUGAUCUGGACGAUGUUAUACGUUUCCUUUUCGAUCGUGGCUCAUUAUAUUUUAUUAUCUCCGGUGAUUAGAACGCCGUUCCAUGGCUCCCACAAACUUUUGUACCGGAUGCGGUGUUACGGACUAUGGGUACACCAUACUAUCGCUCUCUGAUGAAGAAUCUCUUGCUACGCCCUGUAUAGUAUCCGCAUCGACGAGUGGCUCUUAGUUCCAGUAUAUAGCGUUGAAACAGACCUACGCGGCCUGAACCGCAGCAAAAACAUGCUGAUGGACAUAAACAACUCACUGGAUCUUCGACUUUUUAAAAUAUAUUAGCGAUCGUCAAUCUGAGUAAUGAAAUAAUGUUUUUUAAAGAGGACGUGCCAAAAUAAUGGUAUAAAAAAACCUGGAGGAAAAGGUGCUACCGUGCGUAGGUUUACACUGUGAAGUAAGGUAUACCAGAUCAAAAUUAUCCUCUAUGGACUUCUAUGGACGGUACCAGAUCAACGGUCCAGGCUACUGUUCAAGUGGAUUGCGUGCUGUCACCAGCGUGUUCCUCGAGGGUUUCGCAAACUUUUCCGACGGAACGUUUCACUACUAGGUCGACCUGAGUGCACACAAUUGACAAAACGAUUCGACGUCAAGUUCCUAUAGAUCGGUUUUCCGCAACAGAUAAAAUCGAUAAGUAAAACGCGACGACGGUGCACGAUCACAUACCAUUUCGCAUCAGGGUCCGAUUGUCCGCAACAUCGCCCAAUUUCCAGUAAAAACCGUUGACCGUUUUCUUCACGGCGUGUCGACAUUUGAGAUCGUUCAACAUGAACAGCCGGACCCGGUGCACAUUUUUGCUCACGCCGUACGCCACCUGCGAGCCCGUCGUUGGAUCGUACGUUUGGGGUGAAUCGCACAGCACGCACAGGCACAACCUCUUCAUUUUCUCUCCGAACACGUGCACGACGGCCAAAUAGGGUGUCGUGUACGUCUUCGGCUUUAGAACACAGACUCACGUACGGACCGUUGUUGUCUGGGUCGCGGACGACCAUAGGCGUGUUUACGGCUAUGGACACUCUGGCAAUGGCCAGACCUACCAAAUCCAGCUCCGUUUUAAAUGUAUGCUUUACUUGUUAAAAAUAAUUACUAAAAUGUAAAAAGAAUGAUUAAA